rnacentral:rRNA from 1 species
UACAGAGGGUGCAAGCGUUAAUCGGAAUUACUGGGCGUAAAGCGUGCGUAGACGGUUGCGUAAGUCAGAUGUGAAAGCCCCGGGCUCAACCUGGGAAUUGCAUUUGAGACUGCGUAGCUAGGGUGCGGAAGAGGGAAGCGGAAUUUCCGGUGUAGCGGUGAAAUGCGUAGAUAUCGGAAGGAACACCAAUGGCGAAAGCGGCUUCCUGGUCCAGCACCGACGUUCAGGCACGAAAGCGUGGGGAGCAAACAGG